CGGGGUGCACCAGGCGCGAAAACUCUACAAUGCAGGCAACUGCGAUAGGGGAACAUCGAGUGGCGUCCAUAUUGGAUGUCUGUCCUCCCGCCUAAAAAGCGGGAGUUAGCAAGGGCCGGGCAAGACCGGUGCCAGCCGCCGCGGUAAUACCGGCGGCUCGAGUGGUGGCCGAUAUUAUUGAGUCUAAAGGGUCCGUAGCCGGCUUUGCAAGUCUCUCGGGAAAUCCAGCGGCUUAACCGUUGGUCGUCCGGGGGGUACUACAUUGCUUGGGACUGGGAGAGGUAGGAGGUACUCAGGGGGUAGGAGUGAAAUCCUGUAAUCCUUUGGGGACCACCGGUGGCGAAGGCGUCCUACCAGAACAGGUCCGACGGUGAGGGACGAAAGCUAGGGGCACGAACCGGAUUAGAUACCCGGGUAGUCCUAGCCGUAAACGAUGCUCGCUAGGUGUCACAACAGUCGUGAACUGUUGUGGUGCCGUAGGGAAGCCGUGAAGCGAGCCACUUGGGAAGUACGACCGCAAGGUUAAACUUAAAGGAAUGGCGGGGGAG
rnacentral:rRNA from 1 species